rnacentral:snRNA from 1 species
AGCCAUGUUGUGCGCACAGAGCGAACUAUUCUUUCGCCUUUUACUAAAGAAUACCGUGUGCUCGCUUUUGAAAGUUUGAUUUUUUGAAAGCAGAAAAGCAUUGUACU